GACGAACGACUGGCGGCGUGCUUAACACAUGCAAGUCGAGCGGUAAGGCCCUUUCGGGGGUACGACGAGCGGCGAACGGGUGAGUAACACGUGGGUGACCUGCCCUCAGCUCUGGGAUAAGCCUGGGAAACCGGUCUAAUACUGGAUAUGACUCCAUGACGCAUGUUGUGGGGUGGAAAAGCCUUGUGCGGCUGAGGAUGGGCCCGCGGCCUGUCAGCUUGUUGGUGGGGUGANGGCCUACCAAGGCGACGA
rnacentral:rRNA from 1 species